rnacentral:rRNA from 1 species
GACGAACGCUGGCGGUAUGCUUAACACAUGCAAGUCGAACGAGAAGUCUUUUAUUGAACCUUCGGGGGAUAUAAGAGACAGACAGUGGCGAACGGGUGAGUAACGCGUGGGCAACCUACCUAUCGGAGCGGGAUAGCCUCGAGAAAUCGGGAGUAAAACCGCAUAACACGGAUAUAUCGCAUGAUGAAUCCGUCAAAACUCCGGUGCCGAUAGAUGGGCCCGCGUCUGAUUAGCUAGUUGGUAAGGUAAGGGCUUACCAAGGCAACGAUCAGUAGCCGGUCUGAGAGGGCGAACGGCCACACUGGAACUGAGACACGGUCCAGACUCCUACGGGAGGCAGCAGUGGGGAAUAUUGCGCAAUGGGGGCAACCCUGACGCAGCAAUACCGCGUGAGUGAAGAAGGUUUUCGGAUCGUAAAGCUCUGUUAUUGGGGAAAGAAAGCAGUGACGGUACCC